GUUCGGAUUGUAGUCUGCAACCCGACUACAUGAAGCUGGAAUCGCUAGUAAUCGCGGAUCAGAAUGCCGCGGUGAAUACGUUCCCGGGUCUUGUACACACCGCCCGUCACACCAUGGGAGUCGGAAAUGCCCGAAGUCUGUGACCCCAACCUACGGGAGGGAGCAGCCGAAGGCAGGUCGGAUGACUGGGGUGAAGUCGUAACAAGGUACC
rnacentral:rRNA from 1 species